rnacentral:tRNA from 1 species
GGGGUUGUAGCUCAGUUGGGAGAGCGCUUGAAUGGCAUUCAAGAGGUCGUCGGUUCAAUUCCGUCCAGCUCCACCA